AUACCUUUCUUAGCCUUUUGGCUAAGAUCAAAUGUAGUAUUUGUUCCUAUAAGUUUAACACCUUAUAUGUGGAUCAUUGAUCUAUGUGAUAUUAAAUUAAUUUUUCUAGGGGGAGGACAAAUAAGAGUAGCCUGCUAAUGAAUUACUCAAAUGUAACCUAUGCGAUGCACUGAUUCAAGGUCCCAUUUGAAACCU